rnacentral:tRNA from 1 species
GGAGCUCUGCUUCAGUAGUAGAGUAUCUGCUUGGCAUGCAGAAGGUCCCUGGAUGAAUCCCUGGCAUCACCA